GAUGAACGCUGGCGGCGUGCCUAAUACAUGCAAGUCGAGCGAACAGACGAGGAGCUUGCUCCUCUGACGUUAGCGGCGGACGGGUGAGUAACACGUGGAUAACCUACCUAUAAGACUGGGAUAACUUCGGGAAACCGGAGCUAAUACCGGAUAAUAUAUUGAACCGCAUGGUUCAAUAGUGAAAGACGGUUUUGCUGUCACUUAUAGAUGGAUCCGCGCCGCAUUAGCUAGUUGGUAAGGUAACGGCUUGCCAAGGCAACGAUGCGUAGCCGACCUGAGAGGGUGAUCGGCCACACUGGAACUGAGACACGGUCCAGACUCCUACGGGAGGCAGCAGUAGGGAAUCUUCCGCAAUGGGCGAUAGCCUGACGGAGCAACGCCGCGUGAGUGAUGAAGGUCUUCGGAUCGUAAAACUCUGUUAUUAGGGAAGAACAAAUGUGUAAGUAACUAUGCACGUCUUGACGGUACCUAAUCAGAAAGCCACGGCUAACUACGUG
rnacentral:rRNA from 1 species